UUUACAAUGUAAGUCAUUCUAGCAUUUCCCACAUUCAUAUUGAUGUUAAUGAAUCUAGAUAUCUAUCUAGAUUCAUUAACAUCAAUAUGAAUGUGGGAAAUGCUAGAAUGACUUACAUUGUGAAA
rnacentral:misc_RNA from 1 species